AGAGUUUGAUCCUGGCUCAGGAUGAACGCUAGCGACAGGCUUAACACAUGCAAGUCGAGGGGCAGCAUAAAAGUAGCAAUACUUGGUGGCGACCGGCGCACGGGUGAGUAACGCGUAUGCAACCUACCUAUCAGAGGGGAAUAACCCGGCGAAAGUCGGACUAAUACCGCAUAAAACAGGGGCACCGCAUGGUGAUAUUUGUUAAAGAAAUUCGCUGAUAGAUGGGCAUGCGUUCCAUUAGGUAGUUGGUGAGGUAACGGCUCACCAAGCCGACGAUGGAUAGGGGAACUGAGAGGUUGGUCCCCCACACUGGUACUGAGACACGGACCAGACUCCUACGGGAGGCAGCAGUGAGGAAUAUUGGUCAAUGGGCGAGAGCCUGAACCAAGCCAAGUCGCGUGAAGGAAGAAGGAUCUAUGGUUCGUAAACUUCUUUUGAAGGGGAAUAAAGUACGGUACGUGUACCGUUUUGUAUGUACCCUUCGAAUAAGGAUCGGCUAACUCCGUGCCAGCAGCCGC
rnacentral:rRNA from 1 species